rnacentral:rRNA from 1 species
AUUGAACGCUGGCGGCAUGCCUUACACAUGCAAGUCGAACGGCAGCACGGGUGCUUGCACCUGGUGGCGAGUGGCGAACGGGUGAGUAAUACAUCGGAACGUACCUUAUCGUGGGGGAUAACGCAGCGAAAGCUGUGCUAAUACCGCAUACGCCCUGAGGGGGAAAGCGGGGGAUCGAAAGACCUCGCGCGAUUAGAGCGGCCGAUGCCUGAUUAGCUUGUUGGUGGGGUAAAAGCCCACCAAGGCGACGAUCUGUAGCUGGUCUGAGAGGACGAUCAGCCACACUGGGACUGAGACACGGCCCAGACUCCUACGGGAGGCAGCAGUGGGGAAUUUUGGACAAUGGGGGAAACCCUGAUCCAGCAAUGCCGCGUGAGUGAAGAAGGCCUUCGGGCUGUAAAGCUCUUUUGUCAGGGAAGAAACACCGGCUCUAACACAGUCCGGGAAUGACGGUACCUGAAGAAUAAGCACCGGCUAACUACGUGCCAGCCGCCGCGGUAA